UACGAAGGGGGCUAGCGUUGCUCGGAAUGACUGGGCGUAAAGGGCGCGUAGGCGGAUGGCACAGUCAGAUGUGAAAUUCCCGGGCUUAACCUGGGGGCUGCAUUUGAUACGUGUGAUCUAGAGUGAGGAAGAGGGUCGUGGAAUUCCCAGUGUAGAGGUGAAAUUCGUAGAUAUUGGGAAGAACACCGGUGGCGAAGGCGGGUCUCUGGGCCGAUACUGACGCUGAGGAGCGAAAGCGUGGGGAGCGAACAGG
rnacentral:rRNA from 1 species